rnacentral:rRNA from 1 species
GACAGAGGCCUCGAGCGUUAGGCGGAAUCACUGGGCUUAAAGCGUGUGUAGGCGGGCCCGCAAGUGUCUUGUGAAAUCCCACGGCUCAACCGUGGAACUGCUGGGCAUACUGCGGGUCUUGGGCCAACUAGGGGCAGCCGGAACAAGCGGUGGAGCGGUGAAAUGCGUAGAUAUCGCUUGGAACGCCGAAGGUGAAAACAGGCUGCUGGGGUUGCGCCGACGCUGAGACACGAAAGCCAGGGGAGCAAACAGG